rnacentral:rRNA from 1 species
AACUUUCAACAACGGAUCUCUUGGUUCGGGCAUCGAUGAAGAACGCAGCGAAAUGCGAUAAGUAAUGAGAAUCGCAGAUCUCCGUGAGUCAUCGAAUCUUUGAACGCACAUUGCGCCCUCGGGUAUUCCCGAGGGCAUGCCUGUCCGAGCGUCA